rnacentral:rRNA from 1 species
AUGGCGCAGAGCACACUGCCGAGAAGCUGCAGAGCCCGGCCUCCCCCGACGACGAGUUCGAGAACGAGGGUCAUGGCGGCACCGGGCCUCCCCGAGGCGGACUUCAGGAAGGCGCUGGACUCGGCGCUCUUCAGGCGGUGGCUGGAGAGCCUGCAGGCGGAGAAGGGCCUGCUCGCCCACGGGAAGCUCAGCCUCCGCCAGAUCCUCAUCCAGGGGGUGGACAUGUUCGGGCAGCGCGUGGGAUUCCUCAAGUUCAAGGCCGACAUCAUGGACGAGGAAACCCAAGCCAAGUUUCCCUAUAUAAAGAUUGCCUAG